UACGUAGGGAGCAAGCGUUGUUCGGAUUUACUGGGCGUAAAGGGCGCGUAGGCGGCAAUUCAAGUCACUUGUGAAAUCUCCGGGCUUAACUCGGAACGGUCAAGUGAUACUGCUUUGCUAGAGUGCGGAAGGGGCAAUCGGAAUUCUCGGUGUAGCGGUGAAAUGCGUAGAUAUCGAGAGGAACACCUGAGGUGAAGACGGGUUGCUGGGCCGACACUGACGCUGACAGCGCGAAAGCCAGGGGAGCGAACGGG
rnacentral:rRNA from 1 species